GGCUAAAGAUUGUCCGUGGCUUAGGGAAACCGAUAAGUAUCCCACCUGGGGAGUACGCCGGCAACGGUGAAACUCAAAGGAAUUGACGGGGGCCCGCACAAGUGGUGGAGCAUGUGGUUUAAUUCGAUGAUACGCGAGGAACCUUACCUAGGCUAGAAUGCGCGUGACCGGCUCAGAGAUGAGCCUUUCCUUCGGGACACAAAGCAAGGUGCUGCAUGGCCGUCGUCAGCUCGUGCCGUGAGGUGUUGGGUUAAGUCCCGCGACGAGCGCAACCCCUAUAGUUAGUUGCCAGCACGUAAUGGUGGGGACUCUAGCUAGACUGCCUGCGCAAGCAGUGAGGAAGGCGGGGACGACGUCAGGUCAUCAUGGCCCUUACGCCUAGGGCGACACACGUGCUACAAUGGACGGUACAGCGGGUAGCUACACAGCGAUGUGAUGCCAAUCUCGAAAAGCCGUUCUCAGUUCGGAUCGGAGUCUGCAACUCGACUCCGUGAAGCUGGAAUCACUAGUAAUCGCGCAUCAGCCAUGGCGCGGUGAAUACGUUCCCGGGCCUUGUAUACACCGCCCGUCAAGCCAUGAAAGUCUGGUAGACCUGAAGCUGGUGCUCGUCACAGAAGCCAGUUAGGGUAGAACAGGUAAUU
rnacentral:rRNA from 1 species